UCAAGAAUAUAUAUAUACUUUGUGGGGUCUAAAAUGUAUAUUUCGAGGUGUUACAAACGGAAUGACAAACUUAAUAUACCCUCAAUACUAUGGUGGAGGCUAUAAAAAAAUAUAUUCGGCCCUAUUACGGUUAUCGUCGGCGUCGCAAAAUGAAGUCGAGGCGACAAUAUAUGUGAUAUUAGGGUUGUCGUUUUUUGUCGAUAGCGACAAAUGGUUGCCAUUAUCAUUGUCGAUACAACAGUCGACGUGAAGUCGAUUUUUGAGAAUAUCUGUCGCCGUAAAAAAUUGUGACGACAUAGUACUUUUUAGUCGACGUUGAUAUUGUAAGCAUUUUGUAUUUUAUAUUUGACCAUGAAAAUAACAACAGCAAAACAAUUUGAACUUUUGGUUUCCGAAUUGAUUGAGGACUUACCAAAGGUCAUGUUCCAGCAAAUUUUAAUUCACAUUGGGAAUCCAUUACUACAAAAUUAAAUGUAAACGGGCCUCCGAUUAGAGACUCCGAUGGCUGGCAAAAAGUUUGGAAAGAUUAAAAAUUUAAAACUAAAAAGAAACUUGUGCACAACAAGGGUGAAACCAGCAGCAAUGGAGGUGGCAUUUUUAAGCAAAUGAGUUUGUCGCCUUUGGAGGAGUCUGUCGCGAAUAUAAUGCAGUUUUAAAAGUUAUGUAAUCCACCAGGUCGUGCACUUGGAAUAGAAGAUAAGGAAAACAUAAGUGUAAUAGACGUUAUAGUUCAUGAAAAUGAGCAUGUGGACAAUGCUAAAAAAACAAUGUUAAAAAGUCACCAAGGAAAGCAGAAACUAUUGAACUCUUGAAAGAGCGGCGUAAACUUUUGGAACAACACAAUCAAGAGCCAGGCAAUGCAAAUAUGUUUGUUGGCAGCCUUAACACUCGCCGCUGCACUACAAAUACAUUCUUCUCUUCAUCCUCCCUUGAACUUAAGAUAUGUAACGCAUUUAUAAUCUUCAUUUUUUCACUAUAUUUUUUAUUUUUCCGAAAGAGUCCAAAUUAGAAUUCAAAAUACCAAAAAAAAAAUAUAUAUUUUUUUUUUGUCAAUAACAAGGAA